rnacentral:rRNA from 1 species
ACGCACGCUGGCGGCGUGCUUAACACAUGCAAGUCGAACGGUGAAGCGCCUUCCUUUUUGGUGGGUGUGGAUGAGUGGCGAACGGGUGAGUAACACGUGAGUAACCUGCCCCCUUCUUCUGGAUAACCGCAUGAAAGUGUGGCUAAUACGGGAUAUUCUGGGUCUGUCGCAUGAUGGGUCUGGGAAAGAUAUUGUUUCGGUGGGGGAUGGGCUCGCGGCCUAUCAGCUUGUUGGUGGGGUGAUGGCCUACCAAGGCGGUGACGGGUAGCCGGCCUGAGAGGGUGGACGGUCACACUGGGACGGAGACACGGCCCAGACUCCUACGGGAGGCAGCAGGGGGGAAUAUUGCACAAUGGGCGCAAGCCUGAUGCAGCGACGCCGCGUGAGGGAUGGAGGCCUUCGGGUUGUGAACCUCUUUCGCCAGUGAAGCAGGCCUGCCUCGUUUGUGGGUGGGUUGACGGUAGCUGGAUAAGAAGCGCCGGCUAACUACGUG